UACGAAGGGGGCUAGCGUUGCUCGGAUUGACUGGGCGUAAAGGGCGCGUAGGCGGUUCGUACAGUCAGACGUGAAAUUCCUGGGCUCAACCUGGGGGCUGCGUUUGAUACGUGCGGACUUGAGUGCGGAAGAGGGUCGUGGAAUUCCCAGUGUAGAGGUGAAAUUCGUAGAUAUCAGGAGGAACACCGAUGGCGAAGGCAGCUCGCUGGGACGGUACUGACGCUGAGACGCGAAAGCGUGGGGAGCGAACAGG
rnacentral:rRNA from 1 species